UGUGUCGCUGUAAAAAAAGAGCGAGCAGGGCCUGUGAGCACAACUGUUCAGACGGCGGACCGAGAGAGUUCUUCUUCCCUAUUCCCCAUCUCUUUGUGUGCGCCGGCGAGGAGGAAUCCGCGGCGCUCUCUUCGCCGGAUCCGAGCGGGAGCUACGGACGCUUCAAGUCAAGGCACGUAUCGUCAACAUCUCGACUGUGUCGAUAUUUGCUAUUCGUCGGGCAAGAUAGAACACCUGACCAACAGAUUAGGAUAGUGGGUGGGGGCAGGUCACCUUGAUUUAGGGGAAGACGCAAGGAUCUCGACGGGGUAACCAUUCUUGCUGCCGGAGGUGGUCGGUUUAAUGCGCCGCUGCGACGGUAUUCGUUGGGUUGAGGUGUCGGGGUUAGGCGUCGUGAUGCAGGAGAGGUGGGCGCGGUGGAGAUACGAGCGAAUGGGGGGCGAAUGUGGGCGUCGGCGCGUCGGUGAUGCCGGCCAGCGAUUGGGUUGGCUUCCUCCACAGAAAAAUUCAACGCUCCUGAACUUGCUCCGCAAACGAGUGUGCUAGGAUCUGAACCAGGGAUGGAAUCUUCCACGGAGCCGUGAGGCUGGUUCCUAUAUAAGAUCCAAACAGGCCCUGCUUGUUUUUUGUAUUCUUUCAUUGGGAUUGAUUGUCGCCAACAAGUACAUCUCGAGUUAUUGAACAUGCUUGCGCAACUCAUCUUAGGUCGACAGUCGAAAAAUUCUGAAACUAGCAUUUGGUAUGAGAAUAUUGUUUCUCUGACGGUUAUUUGUCACCAACUUGAUGUCUCUUAAGCUCAAUAAACAAUAAAUGAUGAUUAUCCGUACUACACAAGCCUGAUAUAGAAUUUUUUUGUAUUAUAGAUAUUGCUUGAGACAGAUAGCUCCCAAUUAUUUCUAAAACUAUGAUUAUGACUGUGUCUGGGACACGGAGUUUCUGCACACGAGCACAUAUGAGCUCUUUAUCGACACGGUUGAACGGCGUCUUGGGAUGCGGUGCAGUUAAUUCGUGGGUGGGGUAAGGGGUGCGAGUUAUAAUAAUGUAAAUUGGGAAAUCCGGUCGUGGGGACCUCUGACUGUCGGCGAGAAACAACGGAGAACCGGCCGCCGUCAGCCUGCGGGACGCGAGCCGUGGCUCAGGACGGUCGUCGACAUUGUGAUCCGUGGGACAGGGAAAACACUUCCCGGCAGUGGUAGUAACUACGAGGUGGAGGGGUGGGAGUGCUCUGCUUUCUGUAGCUGCUCCAUCAUACCAUCAGCGACGUCGGGUCUCCUGGGAUCUCAGCCACCGUCGGAAGGGACCGUCGCCGACGAGGAGAUGGGAUUCCUGAUGCAGCUAAUUAAAAGAUUCACGGUGCUUGAGGAGGUCAAUGAUAGCGAUGUCCCGAUGGCUCCGCUGCAUUACCUCGUCGGCGCCGCUGCGUCGGGCGAGGUGCAGCACGCGCAAGCCCUAGAGCUGAGCAUGGACGGACAAAUCUGUGCGACCCAUACUGUGGUGGUGGGCUGGUGGCAGAAAGGGAAAUUUCACCCCAAAAGGCUUGAUUAAUGAACCUAGAAAAUCCCUCGAAUUGAAUCUGACUAAGCGCCCGAGCUCUCCACAUGCAAGAUGAAUCCGCAGGUUACUGGAUGGACUCGUAGGUAUGAACGUACUUCCAGCUGUGAUUUUGGUAUUCAGGUCACUGUUCUCGUAUAUAGGGGAUAAAAUUCAUCCAUGGCUAGAGGUAGAAGCAGUCCCAUUGAGGAAGGAGUUUUAUUGGCCAAAUUUUGGUAUUCCAUAAUACAAUGGGUAUGUGAUGGAUGUACAAAAUGCGAUCUUCAGGAGUUGCUUACAACAUUGUAAAAUUCACUGGCAAAUCGUAUGCAUUUCACCAGUCUUUCAAGCGAGUUGCUUGCAAAAUUGUAAUGCGAUCUUCAGGAAUGCGACAUCUUUUUCAUCGAUGUGCCGACAUGCGUGCCGAUCACAUACACAGAGCCCCUGUUACCUGAGGUGUGCCUUUUAGAUUUAUUGUUUUGUGAACCCAGCUAUCUUAUAUGCUAGAUUGAUGUACGAUGUUUAUUUCCUGGUACAGAGAUAGAAAAUACGGCUACUCUAGUGGGAAGUGCAUAGAUACAUGAAUGCUUAUAUAACUGACAUUGAUGGUGAGCUAAAAGAAAAUUUAGUAAUUUACUAUGUUAUAUCUUCAUCAUAUAAACUAGUGGUUAAUUUCAUGUGGUAAAUAGUUCAAGUAAGUUUUAUGUUAGGACUGCGCCAGGUGAACAUCUGAAUAUUGCAGAAUUGAACGCAGAUAGAGUUGAUGUAUCAGAAGAGUCAAUAAGAGCCUGAUUUGGGUAUGUACCAUUGGAGUUGCUUAUGGACUUUGAUAUGGUCUUUCAUAUAACUAUUAGAGGAAAUAUGCAAUUAUCCUAGUCUAGGGUCUUAUAUAACUAUUCCUGAUGCAGCCGAUAAGAAGGUACAAACAACCCCACUCCCGCCACCGACCCACCUCCUUUUUUGGUUCCUUGUAGAUUCCAUGAUCAUCAGUAUGAUGAUCAUGAUGCCGAUCUGAAGUUUGAACCGCUUCCUUGCAGAGCUACGCUGAUCGAGGAUGUUAAUGAUAGUGACAUCCUAUGGAGCCCCUACAUUAUCCUUUGGCUGUCCCGCCAGCGGGGAUGGGGCAGAAUCAGGCCCCGGCGGAGAGCUUCAAAGGGCAGAUUUGGGUGGAGGAAGCAGCGUAGAAGAGCAGAGGGAGGGUUUGCCGCAGGCAAGCACAGUUGGUAGGGAAGCUGGAUCCAACAUCUUUAGGGUGGUCAUACAGGGGUUAGAGUGGGAGCUGCCGCACCGGGGCGAACAUCAUGUCCCAACCGCAGAAGUGCCUUGGAGAAGGCUUUCCAUGGUUAUGCGAUGAAUCCUGGGUCGGCCGCUGAUACACGCGGCAAUGUUUGAGCAAAUUGGCCUUAUUUUCUUGUGGCCCUGCUUCCGACAACUAGUGCGGAACCGGUGCAAGAACUGUGGUGUCGAGUGUCACCGUCGAAACAACUGCACUGAAGCUCCCGAAUUAAGACACCCAGAAGUCUGAUUGAGGUCGCUGGUAAGAGGAUAAGAGUUGGACAACUGUUUUCCUGUGAUGCGUGCACUGGUUAUGUUCUGACUUGUUCAGUAAACCUUCUUAUGUGUGAUUGCUUUUACCUGUGCUGUACUGCUAGCUGGUAUUAUAAUUAUCCUAUGUGAGCUUUAGUUGGAGCCGUAUUAUGUGUAUCAUUGAGGUACUGGUGCUGUCGUCUGAAACAGAACUUGCUUGAUGCAUAUUUGAAAAUGAGCUCAAAAUUCUUGAGUUACCA